AUUGAACGCUGGCGGCAUGCCUUACACAUGCAAGUCGGACGGCAGCAUAGGAGCUUGCUCCUGAUGGCGAGUGGCGAACGGGUGAGUAAUAUAUCGGAACGUGCCCUAGAGUGGGGGAUAACUAGUCGAAAGACUAGCUAAUACCGCAUACGAUCUACGGAUGAAAGCGGGGGAUCGCAAGACCUCAUGCUCCUGGAGCGGCCGAUAUCUGAUUAGCUAGUUGGUGGGGUAAAAGCCUACCAAGGCAACGAUCAGUAGCUGGUCUGAGAGGACGACCAGCCAGACUGGGACUGAGACACGGCCCAGACUCCUACGGGAGGCAGCAGUGGGGAAUUUUGGACAAUGGGGGCAACCCUGAUCCAGCAAUGCCGCGUGAGUGAAGAAGGCCUUCGGGUUGUAAAGCUCUUUUGUCAGGGAAGAAACGGUAGUAGCGAAUAACUAUUACUAAUGACGGUACCUGAAGAAUAAGCACCGGCUAACUACGUGCCAGCAGCCGCGGUAA
rnacentral:rRNA from 1 species